CUGCUGACUGAUGCCCAAUCUGAUCACACCUCAUUUCUUUCAGGCACCUUGACAGCCAGGGAAGCAUUACAGAAGCAGGAAAAAUUGUUUUGGUGCAAAAUUGCCUGAAUCAGCAGGGCCAGAGAGCACGAGACAGCUCUGCACCACUGACUGUGGUGGGCAGAUGCAGAACCCACUGAUGGAACCUGCUGAAGAUCUGAGAUGUCACAGACAGUUUGCACACGCUUGCCAAAACCCAGCUUUAUAGCUUGUCUUUUCUUCGGGAAAAGAAGCAUCACUUCUGUACAUUUCAUUCUUACAAAAUACACACUUCCAGUGCUAAGAAAUAAAUCUCUAGCUGAAAAUAGCAGCCUUUGAUCUUUUCAAAUUGAAAUCUCAGAGUGACAAAUUUCUUGGCAAUAAGGAUAAGCAAUGGAUGACAGCCCAGAAGCUUCUGUUUAAAGAGCUUCAGUGGAAAACUACUUUUUUUUUCCUGGAGUCCCCAUUGAGAACAGGGUUUUUUUUAGAAAGCAGUGACAACUAAGCAAACUGGAAUGAAUAAGAAAUUCCCUUUCCUUUGGGUUCACUUCUCACACUUCUGAUAAAACACCAUGUACACACUGAUUUCAAAAAUCUCAUGCUGACAUUUAGGAACUAUUUUCCCGUUCCGAAGGCACACAUGAAUGAGCUCCUGGAAUGUGAACCUCUGCUUGGCUGUUAUCACUUAAGAAGCUGACAUCAGCAAAAGCCGUCUCCUGAGCGAGUGAUCAAGCAGCAAGCCCAACAAAGACUUCUUUAUCCAACGCUAUUAGAGCGCAAUCAAAUUCAAGUUCAAGCAGAGCAGCUGAGAGCCCUGGGAGCUGUCUGGCCUUUUUUUAAAGCACGUGCUGGCACCACUGCUCUCAGCAGCAUGGAACAAACCCAUCAGCACACUCGAACCGGGCAGAACCAGGAGAGGGCUGUCAUUGCGAGCCCACGUGUUAAAUUAUAAACAAAUUCUAAACCAAAUAUUCAAAGCGAUAAGCGACCCACCAGCUCCUGCCGUAUCCGAGCGGUUCAGUGGAAGACAGGUCGUGCAGUAACACCCAGCAAAGAACGCAUCCUUGAGCGUUUUGCUGUCCCUGCUUAUAUAAACCUACAUUGAGUUCUCCAUCUAAACUCAGACCUUUGGAAAAGUGCAGCUACCUCACACCGCUAACAAAUUCUCCCUGUUUUGCAGACGUUCGCCUGUCAAAACAACUUUCUCUCGGGACAUUUCAGCUCCACGCGCUGACAAACCCAGCCCCACGCACUGGCACCGCC